AUACUCUGGUUUCUUUUCAUAUCAUAUAAAUCUUUCGUCUUUUACUAAAGAUUUCCAUGGAGAGGAACAUUUAUGAGUUUCUAGGGGAAUGGG
ensembl:snRNA U5 U5 spliceosomal RNA